rnacentral:tRNA from 1 species
UCCCUGGGUCUAGUGGCUAAGUCUCUGCACUCCCACUGCAGGGAGCCCAGGUUCGACCCCUGGUCUGGGAA